rnacentral:rRNA from 1 species
AUUGAACGCUGGCGGCAGGCCUAACACAUGCAAGUCGAGCGAGCGGCGGACGGGUGAGUAAUGUAUGGGGACUGCCCGAUAGAGGGGGAUAAAUACUGGAAACGGUAACUAAUACCGCAUAUUAUCGGAUAACCCAUAUGGGAUUAGCUUGUAGGUGAGGUAAUGGCUAACAUGGGCGACGAUCCCUAGCUGGUUGGAGAGGAUGAUCAGCAACAUUGGGACUGAGACACGGCCCAGACUCCUACGGAGGCAGCAGUGGGGAAUAUUGCACAAUGGGCGCAAGCCUGAUGCAGCCAUGCCGCGUGUAUGAAGAAGGCCUUAGGGUUGUAAAGUACUUUCAGUCGGGAGGCGUUACCGACAGAAGAAGCAACGGCUAACUACGUGCCAGCCGCCGCGGUAAUAC